rnacentral:rRNA from 1 species
UGGGGAAUAUUGCACAAUGGGCGCAAGCCAGAUGCAGCAACGCCGCGUGAACGAUGAAAGUCUUCGUAUCGUAAAGUUCUGUUGCAGGGGAAGAUAAUGACGGUACCCUGUGAGGAAGCCCCGGCUAACUACGUGCCAGCAGCCGCGGUAAUACGUAGGGGGCUAGCGUUAUCCGGAUUUACUGGGCGUAAAGGGUGCGUAGGUGGUCUUUCAAGUCGGUGGUUAAAGGCUACGGCUCAACCGUAGUUAGCCUCCGAAACUGGAAGACUUGAGUGCAGGAGAGGAAAGUGGAAUUCCCAGUGUAGCGGUGAAAUGCGUAGAUAUUGGGAGGAACACCAGUAGCGAAGGCGGCUUUCUGGACUGCAACUGACACUGAGGCACGAAAGCGUGGGUAGCAAACAGG